AGAAUCAACGCUGGCGGCGUGCCUAACACAUGCAAGUCGAACGAGAAAGUGGAGCAAUCCAUGAGUAAAGUGGCGCGCGGGUGAGUAACACGUGACUAACCUACCCUUGAGUGGGGAAUAACUUCGGGAAACCGAGGCUAAUACCGCAUAACACCUACGGGUCAAAGGAGCAAUUCGCUUAAGGAGGGGGUCGCGGCAGAUUAGUUAGUUGGCAGGGUAAUGGCCUACCAAGACGGUGAUCUGUA
rnacentral:rRNA from 1 species